rnacentral:rRNA from 1 species
CACGUAGGGUGCGAGCGUUGUCCGGAAUUAUUGGGCGUAAAGAGCUCGUAGGCGGUGUGUCGCGUCGGCCGUGAAAACCUGCAGCUUAACUGUGGGCUUGCGGUCGAUACGGGCAUCACUGGAGUUCGGCAGGGGAGACUGGAAUUCCUGGUGUAGCGAUGAAAUGCGCAGAUAUCAGGAGGAACACCGGUGGCGAAGGCGGGUCUCUGGGCCGAUACUGACGCUGAGGAGCGAAAGCGUGGGGAGCGAACAGG